rnacentral:tRNA from 1 species
UGCCUCGGUAGCUCAGUUGGUAGAGCAGAGGACUGAAAAUCCUCGUGUCGGCGGUUCGAUUCCGCCCUGAGGCACC